CCUACGGGGGGCAGCAGUGAGGAAUCUUCCACAAUGGGCGAAAGCCUGAUGGAGCAACGCCGCGUGAAGGAUGAAGGCCUUCGGGUUGUAAACUUCUUUUAUGAGUGAAGAAUAUGACGGUAACUCAUGAAUAAGCACCGGCUAACUACGUGCCAGCAGCCGCGGUCAUACGUAGGGUGCAAGCAUUAUCCGGAGUGACUGGGCGUAAAGAGUUGCGUAGGCGGUUUAAUAAGUGAAUAGUGAAACCUGGUGGCUCAACCAUACAGACUAUUAUUCAAACUGUUAAACUCGAGAAUGGUAGAGGUAACUGGAAUUUCUAGUGUAGGAGUGAAAUCCGUAGAUAUUAGAAGGAACACCGAUGGCGUAGGCAGGUUACUGGGCCAUUUCUGACGCUAAGGCACGAAAGCGUGGGGAGCGAACCGGAUUAGAUACCCGGGUAGUC
rnacentral:rRNA from 1 species